rnacentral:rRNA from 1 species
GACGAACGCUGGCGGCGCGCCUAACACAUGCAAGUCGAACGGGGUAUUUUGAGGUGCUUGCACCAUGGAAUACCUAGUGGCGGACGGGUGAGUAACACGUGAGCAACCUGCCUUACAGAGGGGGAUAACGUCUGGAAACGGACGCUAAUACCGCAUAACAUUACCGUAUCGCCUGGUAUGGUAAUCAAAGGAGCAAUCCGCUGUAAGAUGGGCUCGCGCCCGAUUAGAUAGUUGGUGAGGUAACGGCUCACCAAGUCGACGAUCGGUAGCCGGACUGAGAGGUUGAUCGGCCACAUUGGGACUGAGACACGGCCCAGACUCCUACGGGAGGCAGCAGUGGGGGAUAUUGCACAAUGGGGGAAACCCUGAUGCAGCGACGCCGCGUGGGUGAAGACGGCCUUCGGGUUGUAAAGCCCUGUCAACGGGGACGAUAAUGACGGUACCCGUGGAGGAAGCCACGGCUAACUACGUGCCAGCCGCCGCUGUAAAAC